CCGUUCUAACCGCUCUACUCAGCUAAUCCACCACCUCUCUAUGGUUAUCAGUCCUCCAGGUAAUAGCGAACAGAGCGGCGAACAGCCCCGGCCCGGCAGGUUAUUUCGCAUGAUUAAUUUCGAGUACUCACCUACGUGUGCGUUGUUUUCGACUCCUCAUUACGCGUGCGAGGGGCGCAGGGGCCGCUAGGAGUCAGAAUAGUCUGUUCCCGAGGCAGGCUCCAGGAAUCGACUGCUCGCCUGCACCUCGAGGCUUUGUAGAUUGGAAUGCUAGCUAUGAGUGUCCUGGCGCAUGCGCUCUGUUGCCUCGAGGACUAACCAUAACAAGGCUUGGCGGAUUUGCUGCGCAGAGCGAGGAACACCACCGCCGCGGCGCCAAACAAACACGGCCGCAAUUCCACCUAUUGGCCACGAGGGGGCACCGGAGACCGCGGAAACAACAACGGCUGGCUCGACGCGCAGCUGCGCCACAGCUUCUGGCACUCUUCUCCUGGGGAAAAAAAAAAAAAUCCACUGUUAGAUUUUUAGCAAAUAAACAAGUAUAUAUGAUUACAGAGAGGGAAAAAAAAGGAUUUUUGGAACUGUGUCUAAGUUUGAAUAAAAUGCUUUUAUGUGUUUACAGAAUUAUUCUAAAGGAUGAUUGUUGAUCUGCUGAAGCCUUCUUGAUUCUACAUUUUUCUCAGUUUGAAUUAUAAAAACUGUAAUUGUGUAUUCUGAACCUAGAAGAGAAAAUCUAGAAGGCUAUUCUGAUUUUUUCUAACCAUCUGUUGAAAAAUGUCAUGAGCGCUUGUUUAUCUGCACUUCUGUAAGUUCUCAACAUUGAUUGUAUUUUAUUUUCUGUAUCUAAUUACUCUUCAGAAUGAUAUGUUUAUACUACUGGAAAACUUCUAUUUUAGAGUGGAAUUAUGCAUACAGUAUUCAUAUGGAUCUGAUCAGAACUGAAUAAUGCAGAUAUUUUUAUAAGUACAUCUUUUGAAGGGAAAAAAGUGUCAUAAUAUAUUUAAAAACCCACCACCUUUCAGGAAAUAACAAUAGCAUCUUUUGUGAGCUGGAAGUUCAAUAUGAAUAUUCAUUAAAAAUAAUGAUGAUAUCCUGACUGUCUUGUGGGAAUAUUACUGUAGCAUCAGAAAUUCCUCCUGAAUUCUUCAACUGAGUUUAUGCUGCCAUAUUUAUUCUAAAAUUCUGGAGAUCUUGUGAAGGCAAGAUGCAAGUGAGAUUUCCAGUAUAUGCAGAACUGCAUCCCAGCCUUAUAUAUGGAAUGGUAAAUGUAUAUGCAAAUGUUCUUCUACUGAGUCUUUGCUGAACAUUUGAGCUACUUAAUACAAGUGCUGAAUUCGGUUUCUUCUUCACAGAAACUUUCCAUAUACUGACAUAUAAGAAUGCAUUACUCAGUGUAACAGGUACAGUAGUCGUUGUAUAACUCUUCACUUGAAUUAGUAGAGCUUGCUCAGAUUCAAUGAUUACUUGAUAUUUAGCUAGCUUAAACAGAAC